CCUACGGGUGGCAGCAGUGAGGAAUAUUGGUCAAUGGGCUGACGCCUGAACCAGCCAAGUAGCGUGCGGGAUGAAUGCCCUACGGGUCGUAAACCGCUUUUGCACGGGGAUAACACCCUCCACUUGUGGAGUUCUCCAGGUACCGUGCGAAUAAGGGCCGGCUCAUUCCGUGCCAGCAGCCGCGCUAAUACGGAAGGCCCGAGCGUUAUCCGGAUUCAUUGGGUUUAAGGGGAGCGUAGGCGGGCGUUCAAGUCAGCUGUAAAAUCGCGCGGCUCAACCGCGCCCCGCAGUUGAAACUGGACGCCUUGAGUUCACGACAGGCAGGCGGAAUUCGUGGUGUAGCGGUGAAAUGCAUAGAUAUCACGAGGAACCCCGAUUGCGAAGGCAGCCUGCCGGGGUGCGACUGACGCUGAGGCUCGAAGGUGUGGGUAUCAAACAGGAUUAGAUACCCUUGUAGUC
rnacentral:rRNA from 1 species